rnacentral:rRNA from 1 species
UUGCACGCUGGCGGCAUGCUUUACACAUGCACGUCGCACGGUAACAGCACUUCGGUGGCUGACGAGUGGCGAACGGGUGAGUAAUACAUCGGAACGUGCCUAGUAGUGGGGGAUAACUACUCGAAAGAGUAGCUAAUACCGCAUGAGAUCUAAGGAUGAAAGCAGGGGACCUUCGGGCCUUGCGCUACUAGAGCGGCUGAUGGCAGAUUAGGUAGUUGGUGGGAUAAAAGCUUACCAAGCCGACGAUCUGUAGCUGGUCUGAGAGGACGACCAGCCACACUGGGACUGAGACACGGCCCAGACUCCUACGGGAGGCAGCAGUGGGGAAUUUUGGACAAUGGGCGCAAGCCUGAUCCAGCAAUGCCGCGUGCAGGAUGAAGGCCUUCGGGUUGUAAACUGCUUUUGUACGGAACGAAAAGCCCUCUUCUAAUACAGGAGGGUCAUGACGGUACCGUAAGAAUAAGCACCGGCUAACUACGUG